rnacentral:rRNA from 1 species
GAUGAACGCUAGCGGCAGGCUUAAUACAUGCAAGUCGAGGGGCAGCACGGUUAGCAAUAACUGGUGGCGACCGGCGCACGGGUGCGUAACACGUAUACAAUCUACCUUAAACAGGGGGAUAGCCUUUCGAAAGAGAGAUUAAUACCCCGUAAUAAAUUGAACGGCAUCGUUUGAUUUUGAAAGCUCCGGCGGUUUGAGAUGAGUAUGCGUCUGAUUAGCUAGUUGGUGAGGUAACGGCUCACCAAGGCGACGAUCAGUAGGGGAUCUGAGAGGACUAACCCCCACACUGGUACUGAGACACGGACCAGACUCCUACGGGAGGCAGCAGUAAGGAAUAUUGGUCAAUGGAGGCAACUCUGAACCAGCCAUGCCGCGUGCAGGAUGACGGCCCUAUGGGUUGUAAACUGCUUUUAUACAAGAGAAAACCCUGGUACGUGUACCAGGUUGAUAGUAUUGUAAGAAUAAGCAUCGGCUAACUUCGUGCCAGCCGCCGCGGUAAGAC